ACCCUAACCCUAAAGCCAAACAAGCCGGCACUGCUUCUCCCUCAAACCCACCACCAAUCCCUAGCCUCUCCGCCCCAUAAUUAUUUCUCCUCGCUCACCCCAAAUUCUCUCUCCACUCUCUUUCGCUCUCUACUCUCUUUCCUCAAUCGAAACCAAAAACGCAAACGCUCGCAACGAGUUGACGACCUUCCUCGCAACCACAUCCCCAAACACAAAUGAGCAACGUUGAUGACCUUCCUCGAGCCGUCGCCGACGAUGACCACCACCCGCCACUUUAAACAGCUGCGUCGAUCUCUACCUCCUCGAAGCAUUCGAGAGAUCCUAUAACACCAUCGAAGUUGUCGACCACGCUAAAGGUAUUUGCCUUACGAUGGAGGCCUCGCUAGGCAAAUACCUUCCAGAGUGCUCCCUCGUGUGUGUAAAGCCCUAAAAUCUUCAUUAUCUUCUUUGCUUCUUCAAGGGUUCGGGUUCUUCGGAAAUACGCAGUCAGAUCGUUAUUUUCUCGCCCUAAAGACACAGAGCCAUCGCCGGCGAUAGCGAAGGGGACCGAUGACAGCUUGAAGCAGAUGGUAAAAGAAGGCCAAUGCUCUUUUAUAAGGGUUAGAAAUGACAUUAUUGGGGAAUUCAGAUUCAUCGUCUUCGGUACUUAUGUACACUUUUGUUCGGACUGAUUUGAAAUCAUGUGAGCAAAGAAUCAAAGAAAGUGAGGGGAAACUUGUAGAGAUUGAGGACCUUUUCUGGGGACUCUGAGCUGAUCCACACGAGGGGUGUGGGAGGUGGGAAGAUGCGAGCUCAGAUUGUAUAUGCUCCAAAUCUGAAUUUGCUGCACGCAUUGCACUCAAACAAAUGUCCAGAACUGAGAAGAUUCCCAUUCAUGAGUAUCAAGCCUGACGCUGAAGAUGGAUUGCGUGGAUAUAAACACUAUCUGUAAUCUGUGCCUGAUCUUGUAAACUCUUCAAUGUCUGGUAUGGAAUUCCGAAAAAUGUUGAAAAAAAGGUGGCAUGCCUAUAAUUUGAGGGCUGUCUAGGGAGUGGGACACCCUUCAUGAGAAAGGGUCUUUUUUUCAAUGAAUUGUUUCUCAUUUAUUUUCAUGAAAAUGAUUAGGGCUGUAGUUAAAUGUAUGCUUCCAGCCGUUGUUGGCAGGGACAUAACUCGAAGGACAUAACUCGAAGAAACUUUGUGCUGCGAUUUAGCCAGAGGCUGGAUAUUCCGAGCGUACGAGUAAAUAAACACUUUUUGUGAUCUGUGAUCAAGCCCGACGUUGAAGAUGGAUUGCAUGGAUAUAAACACAAUAUCUUGUAAACUCGGCCGUGCCUAUAAUUUGAGGGCUGUGAUCAAGCCCGACGCUGGAGAUGGAUUGCGUGGAUAUAAACACAGUAUCUUGUAAACUGGUAUGGAACUCCGAAAAAUGUUGAAAAAAAGGAGGCAUGCCUAUAAUUUGAGGGCUCUCUAAGGGAGUGGGACACCCUUCAUGAGAAAGGGUCUUGUUUUUCAAUGAAUUGUUUCUGAUUUGGUUUCAUGAAAAUGAUAGGGGUUGUAGUUAAAUGUAUGCUUCCAGCAGUUGUUGGUUCUGAGAGUACGAGUAAAUGUUUUAGCAUCUUAAAAUUUCAAUUAUUUUCAAACAAGGAUUUCAUUUCAAAUA